rnacentral:tRNA from 1 species
GGCCCCGUAGUGUAGCGGCCUAACACGCCACCCUGUCAAGGUGGAGAUCGGGGGUUCAAAUCCCCUCGGGGCCGCCA